AUUGUAGAUAAUAUGAAUGUGCAGUAAGAUGUACACCGUUUACACAUUGCUCUUCAUUUGUAUCUUCUUUAAUUCGUUUUCUACAAAUUUCAGGUUAUAAUAUUAUAAAACGUUUUGAAUAUAACACAUCGGUAAAAAUAUAAAAUCCUUACGGCGAUACUAAAUUGACUGCGACGUGAAUCCAUUGAGUAAAAUUUGCAAGACUUAUAUCUUGAUGGCAUAUGACAGCCAUUUUGUCAGAUUUUGGAAUAUCAACAUAAUUUUCAAAAUGUUGUAAAAUUGGACUAUAUAAUUGUUUAAAGUAUGUCAACUGAGGCAGAACAAUAUUAUUAAUUUUUUCUUUAUUUUCACCAAAAGUCAUUCGAAAAUCACCAUUAUAAGAUAAGCCAGUGAUAGUUUUAUAAAAAUCAAUUUCUGUAAAAUGCUGUGGAAGUAAUAAUAAAGCUGCAUGUACAGCUGAAUGUAAAUUUUGUACUAAAGCAGUAGUUAAUUGAGAAUAUUCAUUUGGUUCCAUAAGUAUUUUAACUGGUUUAUGUAAUCUUCCGGCUAAAUAUAUAUCAGUCCAAUCUAAUAAAUCUUCUACUAAUGA